rnacentral:pre_miRNA from 1 species
GGCGGCCUCAGAAUCUCAUCUCUGCUUUUCUUAGAUGAUGUGGUUCUGUUGGCUUUAGC